rnacentral:misc_RNA from 1 species
CGCCAAAUGAUGAAGAAAUGGCAUCAUUUGUAAGUUUCUACAUAUGUAAUCUUUGAUACAAGUAUGCGAACUCUUUGAUGUUAAGUAUUCAAAUUUAGCUAUUUUCGGAGAAGUACUGCGUUUUAGUUGUAUUCACUGAGUUUUAGAUUUAACGCUUUCUAAAGCACUGAAGACUUAUUGAUUGAUGGCGACAUUGCAUUCUGUAUUUGGCAC